UUAUUGAUUCAGUCUCCUAACUGGUAAUCAGUCUGUUCAGUUUGCUAUUUCCUCAUGAUUCAGUCUUGGUAGGUUGUAUGUUUCUUGGAAUUUGUCCAUUGCUUCUAGGUUGUUCAAUUUGUUGGUAUAUACUUGUUCAUAGUAGUCUUUUAUGAUCCUUUGUAUUCCUGUGAUAGCAGUCUCAGAUCGGA